GACGAACGCUGGCGGCGUGCUUAACACAUGCAAGUCGAACGAAGAGCGCCGGCUGCUUUCUUCUAUCAAUCUUACUGGCGAACGGGUGAGUAAUGCGUAACCUACCUUCCCUUUAGAGGGGGACAACAGUUGGUAACGACUGCUACUACCGCAUACGCCCUAUUCUCGGCAUCGAGGGUGGAUUAUCGGUGGCCUCUAAAUGUAAGCCAUCACUUCAGGUUGUGAUUGCGUCUGUUUAGCACGUUGGAGGGGUAGCGGCCCAUCACGGCGAUGAUCAGGAGCCGGUCUGAGAGGAUGGACGGCCACAUUGGGACUGAGACACGGCACAGACUCCUACGGGAGGCAGCAGUGGGGAAUCUGGCGCAAUGGACGAAAGUCUGACGACGCAACGCCGCGUGAGUGAUGACGGACUUCGGGUUGUAAAGGUCGGUUAAUCGGGACGAAAGGCCUUCUUGCGAAUAGUGAGAAGGAGUGACGGUAACGGAAAAGAAAGCAACGGCUAACUACGUG
rnacentral:rRNA from 1 species